UACGUAGGGGGCUAGCGUUGUCCGGAAUCAUUGGGCGUAAAGCGCGCGUAGGCGGCCCGAUAAGUCUGCUGUGAAAGUCCAGGGCUCAACCCUGGAAUGCCGGUGGAUACUGUCGGGCUAGAGUUCGGAAGAGGCAAGUGGAAUUCCUGGUGUAGCGGUGGAAUGCGCAGAUAUCAGGAGGAACACCGAUAGCGAAGGCAGCUUGCUGGGACGACACUGACGCUGAGGCGCGAAAGCGUGGGGAGCGAACAGG
rnacentral:rRNA from 1 species